rnacentral:rRNA from 1 species
GAUGAACGCUGGCGGCGUGCUUAACACAUGCAAGUCGAACGGAAAGGCCCAAGCUUGCUUGGGUACUCGAGUGGCGAACGGGUGAGUAACACGUGGGUGAUCUGCCCUGCACUUCGGGAUAAGCCUGGGAAACUGGGUCUAAUACCGGAUAGGACCACAUUUUGGAUGGUGUGGUGGAAAGUUUUUCGGUGUGGGAUGAGCUCGCGGCCUAUCAGCUUGUUGGUGGGGUAAUGGCCUACCAAGGCGUCGACGGGUAGCCGGCCUGAGAGGGUGUACGGCCACAUUGGGACUGAGAUACGGCCCAGACGCCUACGGGAGGCAGCAGUGGGGAAUAUUGCACAAUGGGCGCAAGCCUGAUGCAGCGACGCCGCGUGGGGGAUGACGGCCUUCGGGUUGUAAACUCCUUUCGCUAGGGACGAAGCGUUAUGUGACGGUACCUUGAGAAGAAGCACCGGCUAACUACGUG